rnacentral:lncRNA from 1 species
AUUUCACAUGCUCCUGGGCACUACUCAACAGAUUGAAAAAAUAACAAUAAGAGAAACCAAUGACCCUCCCGAAAUGAAUGCCUCUCUGGCCGUAGAGAGCUCGCUGUGCAUCAGCUGAGGCCCGUGGAUUUAACAGACUCCGAGCUUGGGACGCGGCGUGUCGGGAGGAAGCCCGGAAAGAGGCAGUACCGGAACUACAUAUGGAGGCGAGUGGUGCGAGCGCACGAGGGAUUAUUUUGUGCUGAUGUUCACGUUCUUGGUUCUUAUGCUCCUGAAAACAAUGCCUUCAGCAUGCAAGCAGGUGUGACUCUUAGUCCAUAAAUACAGGAUCCUUCACGGGCACAGUCGGGCCCCUCCCCUGCCGGGGUGUCCUGGCACCCCGGAAUGCUGAUACGGAGCCCUGAGGUUCAGCGAAGGGUCUCUCCUCUCCAGUUUAUCAGACUCGCCACUGUUCUCCUCAUUGUUCAGAGAGGAAAGAUUCAAGAGAGAUAUGAAGAGGAAAUGAGAAGGGCAGAAAUAGACCCCCGCCCCCACCCCAGUGGAGCUGUAAAUAGGCAGUGAAAUGUCUGCGCUCCUGGAGAGAAAUCAGAUCUUGGAUGUCAGCGCUCAGAAGGAAUUGUGAAGUCAAGCUUCUCUCCUGCUGCUGAAUGCUGGAGAUGUGCAUCUUCCUUAAAACGUAUCACACAUUUUCUUUUAAUUAUAAAAGUAACACACACUCAGUCUAGGACACAUUGCAAAUAUACAUAAAUAUGAAGAAGAAAACAAAAAUUAAUCACUACCCAGAGAGAGACACUAUUAUAAUUUCCUUCUGUUUCAUCAUACACACACACACACACACACCCUUUCUAUUUUAACAUAAUUGGGAAUAUACUAUAGAUACCUUUUCAUCCUUUUCCCCUUUAUAUGUUAUAUCAUGAGUAUUUUCCCACGUCAUUAAAAAUUGCUUUAAAAUAUCAUUUUUAAAGACUACAUCAUAUGCCAUCUUGUAAACGCACCAUAAUUUAUUUAACUAGUCUCCUGUUGUCAAAUUUUAAGCACUUUUUUUCUCUUAUAAAUAGCAUGGCAAUGAA